rnacentral:lncRNA from 1 species
GCGCGAAGGAGGCCAGGACAAAGCGGGAGGCCGGCGACCAGCAGCACCUCUGUCUUCUUCGCUACCGAUUCCUCCCCAGGUACAACCCUAAGCUGUUCGAUCUGCUUGGGCAGUGGAUUGGCUGAUUGUGUGCAUGCUGAUCUGAGGUGAUGUUCGUGUGCGAUUUGUGUGUAUGCGAUGGCUCGCGUUUAUACCUUGUAUGACAUGCUUCUUUCUGGUUAGUUAGCUGCAGUUCGGAG